rnacentral:lncRNA from 1 species
UCACAUUUAUUCUUCAUUCCAGAGCGAAUCAUUCACGGCAUCCAUGUUUUCUAGAAGCGGAAGCAUCGACGUCUCGAGGAAAUCUGUGGUCCGAAUUCCCUUGCAGGGGACCUGCUUUACAUUUCACAGCACAAGAAAUAGAUCAGGAGGAGAAAGGUUGAAGUCAGCUGAAAUGAGGUCAGGCUUAGUUGCUCGUGAAGAUAGCACUGUAAAUGUACUGAUUGUUUACAAACACUUUCAACAAAAUUGCAAAGCUAACUCGUGUGAAGUUAUUUCUGUUCUGAGUAAAUUACCCCCCUUUACAUUUUAAUCUAGCUGAGGAUCCUUUAGAAAUCUUGGUUGAAAGUGCACUGGCUCAUAGCCUUGUGGGCAUGCGAGCACUUAGUUCCACAUAUCGUAGAAAGCGUCGCUUUGCCAUUUUACAGAUUUCCUAUGACAUUACCAUACUAUUUUUCUUGUGAAAAAUUAUUUGGAGAGUGCUAGAAAACUUAAGAUCUGGUGUUUGCUUGUUUAAACAAAUGAUUGCACUGAAGGUAGAUUUUCAUAGUAGUGAAAUAUUCUGCAUAGAUGAUUCCUUAGAAAAUCAAAUAUCAAAUGUAACUUCAGUAAAUAUUUACUUGUGUCUCUUUACCCCAUAAAACACACUGUCAAGUGUAAACACAAGUGACAAGUUCUCUUCUCCUCUGUUUUCUACUGUUUCCCUCUAAACAAUAAUAUCUUAUAUCACGAUUUUUAGGGGAGAUGGAUAUCUGUUGCAAAACGUGCGUGUAUUAUACACCUGAAACAGAAACAUUAGGACAAGGGCUAUCACUGAUCCGUUGUGCAAUGCUGUGAUCACCUGCUUAAACAUGUCUUGGGAUCUGGAGGUGAGAGAAGUCAACUAGCUGUUUGUAGCUUCCACCGGCAGCUUGCAUGUUAAUUAAUUGGUCACGAUCUGAAUCUGAUACUAAACUUGAUAGCCCUUCACCCGUGCAGUUCAG